rnacentral:sRNA from 1 species
GAAUGUGAGGGUGACCUGGCUGUGACCCUCCCACACCAUUGAUUCCAAGUCCCAUUAGACUGAUGUGGUGGCCCGGUGUCUUCUUUCUUCCUCACCUCCGUGUGCAUCCCUCAGGCUUUGAGUUGCUGGCUCAGACAACAGGAAUGUCCUUUCCUGAUAAAAGAGGAUUUGUCCUUGGUAGGCUCAGGAGGUACGAGGUCUGCUCAGUGAGUCUUCAAGUUGGGGGGCUUUCUGUGA